CAGGCAGAGGAGAGAAAGCAGGGAAAGGAUCUCUUUGCAGAAAUGGACAUGGAUUCCUGUGAGGCAGAGAGGCCUCCGUUGGACACCAGAGAGAGGCCACUGGGUGACAGAAUGAUGCCGGCAAGACCUCCUGAUCCGUCUUUUCAUGGGGGCAGAAGGGAAGAAGC